UACGGAGGGUGCAAGCGUUAUCCGGAUUCACUGGGUUUAAAGGGUGCGUAGGCGGCUUUAUAAGUCAGUGCUGAAAUAUCCCGGCUUAACCGGGAGGGUGGCAUUGAUACUGCAGAGCUUGAGUGAAGUCGAGGUAGGCGGAAUUGACGGUGUAGCGGUGAAAUGCUUAGAUAUCGUCAAGAACACCGAUAGUGAAGACAGCUUACUAGACUUCAACUGACGCUGAGGCACGAAAGUGUGGGGAUCAAACAGG
rnacentral:rRNA from 1 species